UCUGGUUGAUCCUGCCAGUAGUCAUAUGCUUGUCUUAAAGAUUAAGCCAUGCAAGUCUAAGUAUAAGUGAAUUAUAUAUAACGAAACUGCGAAUGGCUCAUUAAAACAGUUAUAGUUUAUUUGAUAAUUUUUAUAUGGAUAACUUUAGGAAAUCUAGAGCUAAUACACGCCUAACGCCUGAUGCUUCGUGCAGAUGCGCUGUGUUUAUUAGAUAUAAUCCUCUCACUUACGUGUACAGAUGAUUCAUAAUAACUUAACCGACCGUCGCAAGACGGUAAUUCAUUCAAGUUUCUGCCCUAUCAGCUUAAGAUGGUAGUGUAUUGGACUACCAUGGCGAUCACGGGUAACGGAGAAUUAGGGUUCGAUUCCGGAGAGGGAGCCUGAGAAACGGCUACCACUUCUAAGGAAGGCAGCAGGCGCGUAAAUUACCCAAUCCUGACUCAGGGAGGUAGUGACAAGAAAUAGCGAUUCGGGUCCCACGGAUUACGAUUUUGCAAUGAGAACAAUUUAAAGAACUUAACGAGAAACAAUUGGAGGGCAAGUCUGGUCCCCCGU
rnacentral:rRNA from 1 species